UACGUAGGGGGCUAGCGUUGUCCGGAAUCAUUGGGCGUAAAGCGCGCGUAGGCGGCCCGGUAAGUCCGUUGUGAAAGUCAAAGGCUCAACCUUUGAAAGCCGAUGGAUACUGCCGGGCUAGAGUCCGGAAGAGGCGAGUGGAAUUCCUGGUGUAGCGGUGGAAUGCGCAGAUAUCAGGAGGAACACCCAUAGCGAAGGCAGCUCGCUGGGACGUUACUGACGCUGAGGCGCGAAAGCGUGGGGAGCGAACAGG
rnacentral:rRNA from 1 species